rnacentral:rRNA from 1 species
UACGGAAGGCAGCAGUGGGGAAUAUUGCACAAUGGGCGCAAGCCUGAUGCAGCCAUGCCGCGUGUAUGAAAAAGGCCUUCGGGUUGUAAAGUACUUUCAGUCGUGAGGAAGGUGUUAAGGUUAAUAACCUUAGCAAUUGACGUUAGCGACAGAAGAAGCACCGGCUAACUCCGUGCCAGCAGCCGCGGUAAUACGGAGGGUGCGAGCGUUAAUCGGAAUUACUGGGCGUAAAGGGCACGCAGGCGGUUAAUUAAGUUGGAUGUGAAAUCCCCGGGCUUAACCUGGGAAUGGCAUUCAAGACUGGUUAGCUAGAGUCUUGUAGAGGGGGUAGAAUUCCAUGUGUAGCGGUGAAUGCGUAGAGAUGUGGAGGAAUACCGGUGGCGAAGGCGGCCCCUGGACAAAGACUGACGCUCAUGUGCGAAGCGU